GAUGAACGCUGGCGGCGUGCCUAAUACAUGCCAGUCGAGCGAACAGACGAGGAGCUUGCUCCUCUGACGUUAGCGGCGGACGGGUGAGUAACACGUGGAUAACCUACCUAUAAGACUGGGAUAACUUUGGGAAACCGGAGCUAAUACCGGAUAAUAUAUUGAACCGCAUGGUUCAAUAGUGAAAGACGGUUUUGCUGUCACUUAUAGAUGGAUCCGCGCCGCAUUAGCUAGUUGGUAAGGUAACGGCUUACCAAGGCGACGAUGCGUAGCCGACCUGAGAGGGUGAUCGGCCACACUGGAACUGAGACACGGUCCAGACUCCGACGGGAGGCAGCAGUAGGGAAUCUUCCGCAAUGGGCGAAAGCCUGACGGAGCAACGCCGCGUGAGUGAUGAAGGUCUUCGGAUCGUAAAACGCUGUUAUUAGGGAAGAACAAAUGUGUAAGUAACUAUGCACGUCUUGACGGUACCUAAUCAGAAAGCCACGGCUAACUACGU
rnacentral:rRNA from 1 species